rnacentral:rRNA from 1 species
GACGAACGCUGGCGGCGUGCUUAACACAUGCAAGUCGAACGGAAAGGCCUCUUUCGGGGGGUACUCGAGUGGCGAACGGGUGAGUAACACGUGAGUAACCUGCCCUUGACUUUGGGAUAACUUCCGGCAACUGGGGCUAAUACCGGAUAGGAACUCCUGCUGCAUGGUGGGGGUUGGAGAGUUUCGGCGGUUGGGGGUGGACUCGCGGCUUAUCAGCUUGUUGGUGGGGUAGUGGCUUACCAAGGCUUUGACGGGUAGACGGUCAGAGAGGGUGACCGGCGAUACUGGGACUGAGAUGAGGCCCAGGCUCCUACGGGAGGCAACAGUGGGGAAUAUUGAACAAUGGGUGGAAGCCUGAUGCAGCAACGCCGUGGGCGGGAUGACGGCCUUCGGGUUGUAAACCGCUUUCGCUCAUGACGAAGCUUUGUGUGACGGUAGUGGGUAAAGAAGCACCGGCUAACUACGUG